rnacentral:rRNA from 1 species
GAGGAAUAUUGGUCAAUGGACGUAAGUCUGAACCAGCCAAGUAGCGUGCAGGAUGACGGCCCUAUGGGUUGUAAACUGCUUUUGUAUGGGGAUAAAGUCAAUCACGUGUGAUUGUUUGCAGGUACCAUACGAAUAAGGACCGGCUAAUUCCGUGCCAGCAGCCGCGGUAAUACGGAAGGUCCAGGCGUUAUCCGGAUUUAUUGGGUUUAAAGGGAGCGUAGGCCGGAGAUUAAGUGUGUUGUGAAAUGUAGACGCUCAACGUCUGACUUGCAGCGCAUACUGGUUUCCUUGAGUACGCACAACGUUGGCGGAAUUCGUCGUGUAGCGGUGAAAUGCUUAGAUAUGACGAAGAACUCCGAUUGCGAAGGCAGCUGACGAGAGCGCAACUGACGCUUAAGCUCGAAGGUGCGGGUAUCAAACAGGAUUAGAUACCCUGGUAGUCCGCACAGUAAACGAUGGAUGCCCGCUGUUGGUACCUGGUAUCAGCGGCUAAGCGAAAGCAUUAAGCAUCCCACCUGGGGAGUACGCCGGCAACGGUG